CGGAUCCUUGGGAUACAUUAAGAAAGGUGAGAAACUGGCCAUUUCUUCCUUUUAAUGCUUUUCCUUAGGAUGGGAUGGACUAGGAGAGCCCACGAAAUGACCCCAGCCACUCACCAUAGACAUCAUUUCAAGUACCAACUUCACCAACUUGAGUUUUUAAACUGGCCUUGAUUAGACUCCCGAUGGAUGUGACUUAUACAACAUAGCUAGGCUGUUGAAGUUUUUGCUGGAUAUUUUAAAAAUAUCCCCUUUCCUUCAUCAUAAAGAUACUUGUUCUCACAUAAAAUGAGCUGAAUUUUAUCAUUUGUAUAAAUCCAGCUAAAUUACUUCUAUAAAUAGCACAAUCUUCGUUAUUCAUCAUUGUCAGGAAAUGAGCUAUUUGGAUAAUAUGCUUCUAGGUGGCACCGCCAGUUUUCCUAACGGGUUGUUAUUGGUUGAAUUUUGACCCUCCUCCUCCAGCUUCAUAUGUUGAAGUCCUAAUCAUCAGUACCUCAGGCAGGGCCUUUACAGAGGUCAUCAAGCCAAAACGAGGUCAUUAAGGUGAGACAGACACGCACGCACAGAAUGCCAUAUGAA